GACCUCGGCCCCGGUGGAAGUUAUCGGGUGGCAGCAGAGUUGGAAUGGGAUAGGUAGUUCCCCGUUUCCAGGACCCCAGACGGCCUGCUGGGACAGUGUAUAUGAGUCCGGAAUGGGCUGGACCAGGGUCAGGCUAGCCCAGACUUCAGGAGGAAGCACUCAAUUGAACAAGUGCAGGAACCAGCUGGCUGCCUCAGCACUGACAGAAGCAAAUUCCAUUUGCUUGGACCCACUGCAUUCCAUCCCUUGUGGAAGAGAGCAUGUAAGCAAGUGAGUGCAGGAACUGGCUGGCUGCUUUGGUGCUGGCAGGAGCAAACACCAUGAAGGCCCCAUGGCAGAGUCCAGGACAGGACCUUCAGGCCUCUGAAAAAAAAAGGAUCAAAGAACUGAAACUCACCAGAUCACCUCACCAGAUGCUGGACCCCUCAUUCACCAUGUUUGCUUCCUUGCCUCUCCCUAGUUCUUAUUUUCUUACACAUUGUUACAUUUCUUCCCUGCUAUAUCAACCCCUAGUUCUAGUCAGUCAUGGAGAUGGAUUUGAGACUGAUCUCCCAUCCCCUCAGCUACACCACCUGAUUAAAGCCUUCUUCCUUGGCAAUAAUCAUUGUCUCAGUCAUUGGCUUUCUGUGCAGGGAGCAGCAGGACCUAGACUAAACCCCUGGUGUUUUGGUAACAAAAUAAGGCCAGGCACAGAAAGACAAACAUCACAUGUUCACACUUAUUUGUGGGAUCUAAAUACCAGAACAAUUGAACUCAUAGAGAUAGAGAGUAGAAGGAUUAUUACCAGAGGCUGGGAAGUGUGGUUGAAGGAGUUGGUGGGCAGUGGGGAUGUAGAAUGUGUCCAAAAAAAGGAAUAGAAUGAAGAAGUCCUAGUAUUUGAUAGCACAACAGGGUGACUAUAGUCAAUAAUCAUUUAACUGUACAUUUUAAAAUAACUUAAAAGGUGUAAUUGGGUUGUUUGUAACACAAAUGAUAAAUGCUUGAAGGAAUUGCUACUCCAUUUUCCAUGAUGUGAUUAUUGUGCAUUGCAUGCCUGUAUCAAAAUGCCUCAUGUACCUCAUAAAUAUAUAUACCUACUAUGUACCCACAAAAAUUUUUUAAGAAAAUAUACCACUGCUUUUCCAUUUGUCAAGUGAAAAA
rnacentral:lncRNA from 1 species